rnacentral:rRNA from 1 species
GCGAACGCUGGCGGCAGGCUUAACACAUGCAAGUCGAGCGCUCGUAGCAAUACGAGAGCGGCAGACGGGAGAGUAACACGUGGGAACGUACCCUUUGGUUCGGAAUAACUCAGAGAAAUUUGUGCUAAUACCGUAUAAUGACUUCGGUCCAAAGAUUUAUCGCCCAAGGAUGAGCCCGCGUAAGAUUAGCUAGUUGGUGGGGUAAAAGCCUACCAAGGCGACGAUCUUUAGCUGGUCUGAGAGGAUGAUCAGCCACACUGGGACUGAGACACGGCCCAGACUCCUACGGGAGGCAGCAGUGGGGAAUAUUGGACAAUGGGCGAAAGCCUGAUCCAGCAAUGCCGCGUGAGUGAUGAAGGCCCUAGGGUUGUAAAGCUCUUUUACCCGGGAUGAUAAUGACAGUACCGGGAGAAUAAGCUCCGGCUAACUCCGU